GACGAACGCUGGCGGCGUGCUUAACACAUGCAAGUCGAACGGAAAGGCCCUGCCGUUGUGGGAUGCUCGAGUGACGAACGGGUGAGUAACACGUGAGUAACCUGCCCUUGACUUUAGGAUAACUUAAGGAUACUGGGGACAAUACCGGAUCGGAGCUCCAGAUGCAUGGUGGGGGUUGGAAAGUUUCGGUGGAUGGGGAUGGACUCGCGGCUUAUCACCUUGUUGGUGGGGUAGUGGCAUACCAAGGCCUUGACGGGUAGUCGGCCUGCGAGGGUGGCCGGCCACAUUGGGACUGAGAUAGGGCCCAGACGCCUACGUGAGGCAACAGUGGGGAAUAUUGCACAAUGGGCGGAAGCCUGAUGCAGCAACGCCGCGUGCGGGAUGACGGCCUUCGGGUUGUAAACCGCUUUCGCCUAUGACGAAGCGUGAGUGACGGUAAUGGGUAAAGAAGCACCGGCUAACUACGUG
rnacentral:rRNA from 1 species